rnacentral:rRNA from 1 species
GACGAACGCUGGCGGUGUGCUUAACACAUGCAAGUGGCGCGACGAACCAGAGCUUGCUCUGGGGCAAAGCCGCGAACGGGUGAGUAACACGUGGGUAACCUGCCCCGAUGACUGGGACAACCCGGGGAAACCCGGGCUAAUACCGGAUGAAGCAUCCCGGCUUAAGCCGGGAUGCCAAAGGUAGCUUCGGCUUCCGCAUUGGGAGGGGCCCGCGGCCCAUUAGCCUGUUGGUGGGGUAAUGGCCUACCAAAGCAACGAUGGGUAGCUGGUCUGAGAGGACGAUCAGCCACACUGGGACUGAGACACGGCCCAGACUCCUACGGGAGGCAGCAGUGGGGAAUCUUGCGCAAUGCGCGAAAGCGUGACGCAGCAACACCGCGUGAGGGAAGACGGCCUUAGGGUUGUAAACCUCUUUCAGUUGGGACGAAGGUUCGACGGUGAAUAGCCGGCCGGACUGACGGUACCUUCAGAAGAAGCUCCGGCUAACUACGUGCCAGCAGCCGCGGUAA